rnacentral:rRNA from 1 species
GACGAACGCUGGCGGCGUGCUUAACACAUGCCAGUCGAACGGAAAGGCCCUGCUUGCAGGGUACUCGAGUGGCGAACGGGUGAGUAACACGUGGGUGAUCUGCCCUGCACUUCGGGAUAAGCCUGGGAAACUGGGUCUAAUACCGGAUAGGAGCCAUUUUUAGUGUGAUGGUUGGAAAGUUUUUUCGGUGUUGGAUGAGCUCGCGGCCUAUCAGCUUGUUGGUGGGGCAAUGGCCUACCAAGGCGGCGACGGGUAGCCGGCCUGAGAGGGUGGACGGCCACAUUGGGGCUGAGAGACGGCCCAGACUCCUACGGGGGGCAGAAGUGGGGAAGAUUGCACAAUGGGCGCGAGCCUGAUGCAGCGACGCCGCGUGGGGGAUGACGGCCUUCGGGUUGUAAAAUCCGUUCGCUAGGGACGAAGCUUUUUGUGACGGUACCUAGAUAAGAAGCACCGGCUAACUACGUG